rnacentral:rRNA from 1 species
UGCGUAGGCGGUUAGUUAAGUCAGUUGUUAAAGCCCAUGGCUUACCCAUGGAACAGCAAUUGAUACUGGCUGACUAGAGGGCAGGAGAGAGAAGUGGAAUUCUCGGAGUAGCGGUAAAAUGCGUAGAUCUCGAGAGGAACACCAAUGGCGAAGGCAGCUUCUUGGAAUGUCCCUGACGCUGAGGCACGAAAGCGUGGGUAGCAAACAGGAUUAGAUACCCUGGUAGUCC